rnacentral:tRNA from 1 species
UAGCUCAGUGGUAGAGUGCAUGCUUAGCAUGCACAAGGCCCUGGGUUCAAUCCCCAG